UUCUUUCUUAUUUACAAGUUUUGCUUAGUCCCUUUUGAUUUUGAACAUAAAGAUGAAUGUGUAUUACAAGCUUCAUAUAGAUCUUGUACGUGAAUUUAAAUGUGUCCAAUUCAGCAUAUUUGACUAACAAUUUAAGCUACUUGUUGUAAUUUGUGGGAGUGGAAACCAACUUUGAAGCAUGAUUUGUGGAAUUUCAUAUCAAAUCUAAAAUUAGUGAGGUCUUUAUGUCCAUCAAUACUUUGGUAACAAUUGGCGAAAGGUUACAAAGGUCAGCAAAACCAUACAUGAAGGUACAUAUAAACUUUAAUAUCUUUAAUUUGAACUUUGUUUAUAAUAAUUUAUAAGUUGGGAGCUUCACCUAAAUAUAUCCCCCUAUUAUAUUUUAUAGGAAUCUUCAUUAAAUGGCUUAAUCAUUUAGUUUGAAGCUAUCAAGAGGAAGGAUAUUAAGCUUAAAGUUUGUUAGAGUAUUUUAGCUUUUAAGUAUGUAAUUAGUUUGCUAAUCUCUUGCAGGGAGAAACAUAGUUAAUAAUAUUUGUUUGACUAGAAUCAUAUGCAAUUGUUUCACUGAAAGAUGGUAAACAAUCUACAGCAACAAUAUGUGAAAUACAAUUUGGAGUUCCUUUCAUUCAAAUCGAAUCAUGAUUAAUAAAAAAUAAUUUAGAUAAGAAAUAAGUAAAUUGAUUUGCAUUUCUAAGAAUGAUAACUAUAAAUAAUUCCAUAAUUUUACUGGUCAAAGUUGUGUUGAGUAAAUCACUAAUGUGAUAUUUAAUUAGUAUUAUUUUUAUUUUUAUUUGUUUGAGUUUUUGUUAGGCUAAAUUGAUGUGAUUUUGUUCAAAGCAAAAUGAUUCUUAGACAUAUUAUGGGUGCACAUAUUUUAUAUUUUUAAUAUUUUAAUUUAAUUAAAGUCCUCAUGAGCUUAGCUCAGUUGGUAUAGACAGUGUAUAAUAAUAUUCAAGGUCG
rnacentral:lncRNA from 1 species